rnacentral:lncRNA from 1 species
AGCAUAGUAUGCAAAUUUGAAGUAGUUUUCUCCUUAGUCUUAACCAUGGCAGUCAUUAAGAGCAAUCACACUGAUGACAUGGGUUGUUCAAUCUGCAUUGUUAUUAUGAUCAUGUCUUCCACUUUGAUCUUACCAACUUCUUGCUAUGAACGUACGUAUCUCCAAACAUCCUUUAAUAUAUUUUUUCUUACAUAAUGCAUUAAUUUUGCUAAAAUAGACCUUACCGGACAUUUGAAAUAAAUAUCUUUGCAUUGCCUCAAUGUUUAGUUGAUCGUCAAGAGAAGUGCAUGCCUACUUCAACUUGCCGUUGGAAUGUCUGCAAGACCAUGUGCAGAUACACGGGCAACCCUUGGCUCGGGGCCUACUGCAAAACCGAACCGGACGAUGUGAAAUUGUGUUGUUGUGUUUAUUCCUGAAUCUCUAGCGAUGCUAGUUGUUAUUUGCGGCAUUAAUAUUGCCGUUUCUUGUAUCCAGCCGCUUGGAAUGCAGUCCCAAUAAAAAUGGUUUAUAGCGACUAUAUAUCGAACUUUUUAUUAUUAUGAACAACAUCAUCAAUGUAUGAUCGAUAUCGUGUGCUCGUAUCUAGCUAGUGGUUCAUCUUUACGUCAUAAACCGG